rnacentral:rRNA from 1 species
UGACAAAGUUCAACGGCCGCGGUACCCUAACCGUGCGAAGGUAGCAUAAUCACUUGUUCUUUAAAUGAGGACUCGUAUCAACGGCACUACGAGGGCUAUACUGUCUCCUUUUUCUAAUCAGUGAAACUGAUCUCCCCGUGAAGAAGCGGGGAUCAAAAUAUAAGACGAGAAGACCCCAUGGAGCUUUAAACUCACUAUACACCUCUGUGCCUUUAUGUCACUAGACACAAGAGAUCUGCGUACUAGUUUUAGGUUGGGGGGACCACGGAGUAUAAUUUAACCUCCAUAACAAAUGGGCUAACACCCUUAUCUACGAGACACAACUCUAAGAAUUACUAAACUAAUGCUUAUGACCCGAUAUUCGAUCAAUGAACCAAGUUACCCUGGGGAUAACAGCGCAAUCUACUUCAAGAGCCCAUAUCGACAAGUGGGUUUACGACCUCGAUGUUGGAUCAGGGUAUCCCGGUGGUGCAGCCGCCACCGACGGUUCGU